rnacentral:lncRNA from 1 species
AUACAUCGAAAACAAAGUAGUACCAAUCAUCAUGGCUAAGUUUGCUUCCAUCAUCACCCUUGUUUUCGCUGCUCUUGUUCUCUUUGCUGCUUUUGGUGAGUAAUCAUCUUAUCAUAUAUGAAAUAGUGUUAUAAAUCUUGUUUCAUUUAUUUUGAUAGUUAACCAUGAGAUAUGUAUACAUAUGCAGAAGCACCAUCGAUGGUGGAAGCACAGAAGUUGUGCGAGAGGUCAAGUGGGACAUGGUCCGGAGUUUGUGGAAACAAUAACGCAUGCAAGAAUCAGUGCAUUAACCUUGAGGGAGCAAAACAUGGAUCUUGCAACUAUCGAUUCCCAUACCACAGAUGUAUCUGUUACUUCCCAUGUUAAUCAACCAAACAUCUUUGGUGGUUAAUCACGUGUGUAUUUUACAUAAAAUAAGUCUGUGUUACUCUAUGAGUAACUUUAUGACAUGCAUGUUUAUGUUUUAAUGUUUGGUUGGACUUUGUUGUUAUAAUUCAUGUACCACCUAAGACUGCAUGCAGUUUCUUGUUUGGUUGGACUUUGUUGUUAUAAUUUAUGUACGACCUUUUUAAGACUAUAUUUUCUUGUUCGUAUUUGUCAGCAGCAGCCGUCACCCAACAGGACCACUCAUUUUUAUGUAUCGAAAUCGAAGUCAUAAAACUAAAGAACAUAAAGAAAAAAAAAGACACACGACCGUUAAAGACCGAAUAAGAAUAUGUCAAAAGAAAAAAAAAAUCAUCAUUCAUAGAAAAAAAUUUAUAUUCUAGGACGUUCACGUUAUAUCACCAUAGCCACGUCAAAACCCCAAUUUAAUAGUUUGAUCAGACAAUUAAUAGAGAGGGUUUUAUGACGGUACGUGGCAAGAGUUAGACAUCCAUUAUUUUUUGGAUUAAUAAGAAUUAUAGUACAUUUUCAAAAAAUAAUUGGGAAAAUAGUACAUAUAUUAUUUAUAAUUAUAAAAAUAGUCAUAUGGACCCACAAUAUGAGAUAGAAGAAAACAUGAGAUAGGAAAAACGAGAGAAAAUAAAAUGACAUGAGGGGCAAUUUUUUUUCUCUGGAUUUUGUUUUUUUUUUUCUUUUUUUUUUCUUUUUUUCUCUUACUUUUAUCACCCCAAAAUUUUUAUAACUAACAUACUAAUUUUUGUAAAAAUAAUAUCAAUAAUAUUUUUAACACAUAAAAAUGUUUUUUUCUCUAUAAUUUGAUAUGCCUUUUGCUAAUAAAUUUUAAAUUUUUUUAUAUAUAAAUAUUUAUUUGUAUAGUUUAGCAUAUGUACAAAUGUUUUUUUUACAAUAGUAUGUGUACAGACGUAUGUACAAAAAUAUCCAUACAUAAAUAUGUACAAACAUAUCCGUACAACUUAUUAAGUGUACGAAUAUAUGUAAAAAUUACUCAUUUUUAUCCGUACAGCUAGUAUAGUAUACCAAAAUAUGCAUAUUUAUAUAUAUUUGUACACUAAUAUGCUGUACGGAUGAUAUUGUGUAAUAAUAUUAUUAUUGUACAAAAACAUAAUUUUGUACGUAUGUACAAUAAAUAUGAUGUACGAAUUAUAUUAUAUAAUUAUUUUAAUGGCAGACUCGUAAAUACUAUGUUUUCUGAGUGUUUAAAUGUCCAUAAAAUAGUAGCAAAUAGUGAUAAUGUACUAGUUUCCUAAUUGUAAAUAGUGUUUGUACUAGUUUUAUAAUUAUUUUUUAAAAAUGUAAUACUUCUCCAACACACCCUUAUUUUUUUAAAAUUAUAUUUUAUUGUAGUUUCUAAUAUUGGGUAGAGAUUUUCAUAGUCUCUCAGUUAUAUUAUUUUAAUAGAUAUAUAAUUUACUUUUUACUAUUUAUUUAAAUUUUAAAUAACAAGAAAAGAUUAAAACCGAUCACAUGAUCUCUCGAAAAGUCUCAUUUGAGAAGUGGUUCUCAUAUCUCUUUUCAAUUUUUUGUUUUAUAUUGUUAAAAAAAAUGGGUGAAGCAAUUAAGAACAUAUAAACAAAAUUAUACUCAGACUCAAACGGAGGUGUCUAAAUUGCUAUAGAGAAUACUGGACGAGCUUUUACAUACAGCAGCCAUAUAUCGUUCUUUUACUUACUUCUUUUAUUUUUUGGUAUUCAUAUUUGUUUGUAUUUGGACUAACUUGUGCAUAUCAAACUAACGUAACGCACAAUAUAUAGCAUUUUGCUUAGGUACCCUGAAUUCAAAACUAAAAACAUGAAUCCUAAACUCUAAGAAAGUUACAUCUAAUCUAAAAAAGAGUUCUAAAUACAACAAAAAGAUGUAUUUUCUGAAUUUUAAAAAAUGGAUCGCUUAUAAUAUUUCCGUAAUUCCUUUGUGCUUUUAUUUUCCUUUGUAACGAAUUUACAGAUUAUACCUUAAGCUCUAUAUCCUCUAAUUUUUGAUGAAAUUCACCGUUAUGAUGAUAGUUAGAAAAUCUACCGCCGAUGAGAGCAACGCACUGAUGAAUCACAUAAUUUACGGUUAAAGGUGUCUCCCGGUGAAAUCUAAUGGCAAAAAAACUAAUAAGAACGGUUUCUUUGUUCUGCAAAUUAACUUGGCGGAACGAUGCUACGUACUCUUGAGAUCAACCAAACAAUAUGUUGAUACAUAUACACUUGCCUAACUGUCAAAAUAUCUGACAUGACAUAUAUCAAAGUACUCUUGUAACUACCGCUUGGUUAACAUCUUAUUUUCUUGAGUCUUGACCACAUCAGAUUAUGCCGCCUAUGUAUAAAUCAUUUGCUCAAAGCCAAAGCAGCCUACUUAGAUAUUAUCAGAAAAAAUAUGUGGUGGAGAAUAACCAGCAGCCAUCAACUAUGAAUAAGUCAAGUUCUUAUCUGUUAAUAUUAGCACUAGAAGACGCUUAGUGUUUAAUUUGUGGGGUUACGAUCUGUAGUUAUAGGAUGCACACAUAUACGACUAACUCACCAUCAUUUCAUUAUAAAUAGACUCUGAUCUUAAGCUUAAUUAGUUCAUCACACAACACAUCAAUACAUACAUACAUUGAAAACAACACAGUUUAAUAAUCAUCAUGGCUAAGUUUGCUUCCAUCAUCCCCCUUAUCUUCGCUGCUCUUGUUCUCUUUGCUGCUUUUGGUGAGUAAUCAUCUUUUUUUUUUAAUGGAAUUAUGGAAAUAAUGUUUUAAAUGUUAUUUUGAUAACUAACCAUGAGAAAUAUAUACACGUAUAUGCAGAAGCACCAUCGAUGGUGGAAGCACAGAAGUUGUGCGAGAGGUCAAGUGGGACUUGGUCCGGAGUCUGUGGAAACAAUAACGCAUGCAAGAAUCAGUGCAUUAACCUUGAGGGAGCAAAACAUGGAUCUUGCAACUAUCGAUUCCCAUACCACAGAUGUAUCUGUUACUUCCCAUGUUAAUCAACCAAAAAUCUUUGGUGGCUAAACGUGUGUGUAUUUUACAUAAAAUAAGUCUGUGUUACUCUCUAUGAGUAACUUUAUGACAUGCAUGUUUAUGUUUUAAUGUUUGGUUGGACUUUGUUGUUACAAUUUAUGUACGACGUUAUAAUUAAGACUCUGUUUCUUCUUGUUCGUAUUAGACCAGUAUUAAUUUGAUUACAGCAGCUGACACCCAACAGGACCACUAAUUUUCAUGUAUCGAAAACAUAAAGAACAGAAUUUUAAAAAAAAAACACACGACCGACCGUUACCUGACCGAAUUAGGAUGUGUCAAGAAAAAAAGAAAUUCCCAUUGAUAAAACAAAAUAAAACUUCUAUUCUAGGACGUUCACUUUAUUUCACUAUAGCCAAGUGAAAACCCCAAUUUAAUAGUUUAAUCAGACUACCAAAUUCAUGAAUUGUCGAGUAGUGAAAUGUUAAUUAAUUGAGAUUGUUGAUUUUUAUUUUAUUUUUUUGUCGUACGUAGUUUCUGAUAUUGUAUAGUAAACAAUAAUAGCAAUAAUGAAUAGAAGAAAAAAAUGAUUGGGGGUGUUACAAAUAAGAACAUCUGAAUAUAUAAACAAAAUUAUACUCUUAAGCGGAGGUGUCGGUAACGCUAUAGAAAACGGGACGAGCUUUUCCUUUUACUUCCUUCUUUUACUACGUACUGCUGUUUUUACGUAUUCAAUUUUUUUGUUUUUUUGUCUGUAUUUGGACUAACUUGUUCAUCAAAAUAACGCACAAUAUAUAUAUAGCAUCUUGCUUACGUACCUUGAAUUCAAAAUUAAAAACAUGAACCUUAAACUCUCUAAAUGUAAUCUAAUCUAAGAAUAGUUCGAAACCAUACAAAAAAAAAUACGAUUUUCCUCAAUUUAAAAGAAUUCAAUCAUUAUUUUUAGUUCAAAAACAAAAUUUGAUCGCUUAUAUAAUCUAAUUUCGUAAUUACUUUAUAAACUUUUUUCUUAGUUAGUUGGUAUUUUCAGUUAUUUUGCCAAUUUCUUUGUUAACGAAUUUACGAAUCAUACCUUAAGCUCUAUAUUCACCAAUUUUGUAUGAAAUUCACCGUUACCUUCUUCUGAUAGUUAGAAAAACUACCGCCGGCGAGAGCAGCGUAAUGGAUCACAUAAUUUACGGUUAAAGGUGUUUCCUGGUGUGUUUUAACUUGCGAAAAAUCUAGCGAGAAGAGUUUCUUUUGUUCUGCAAACUUGGCAAAACGAUGUUACUCUAGAGAUCAACCAAAACAUAUCUUGAUAUACACUUUUGGUUCAAAGGAGCAGUUCCAAAACAUGCAUUUAUGAUAUGGUUUACACAUCUAAUUAUCGGCUUCCCACUAAAACAAGGCUCAAAAGUCUGGGACUGCAAAUUGAGCAAACUAGUUGCUGCCUUUGUGGUUUGUUCCCUGAAACUUGAGAGUUGAGACCAUAUGUUCCCUUCAUUGUGAAGUUAGCGAUGGCCUCUUGUCAAAACCACCAACAAAGAUUUGGAUACAACUCGUUUAUUUUCCACACUUGGAGUGCGUUCUCAGCUUGGUUAGACUUUAAAGACUCAACAUCACCUCUUUUUUUUUUGGCAGGAAACAAUUAAUCUUUUGUAACUUUUACAAACUUUUUCAUCUAAUGAAAAUUCACAUUUCUGUUAAAGGAAAAAAAAAAACUGUGAAAAUAUCUGACACAUCAAAAUAAUCGUGUAAAUUAACUACCGCUUGGUUAUAUUACGAUCUUAUUUUCUUGAGUCUUGACCACAUCAGAUUAAGCAGCCGCCUAUGUAAACGAUGUAUGAUUAGCUCAAAACCAAAGCAGCCACCAAGAUAUUAUUAUUAGAGAAAAAUAUGUGGUGGAGAAUAACCAGCCAUCAACUAUGAAAAAGUCAAGUUUUUAUCAUGCUAAUACCAAUCAGCUGCUAGAAGACACUUAGUGUUUAAUUUGUGGGGUUACGAAACGUGAUUAUACGAUGCCCAAAUAGAUCGACUAAUUAACUCACCAUCGUUUCACUAUAAAUAGAAGUUGAUCUUUAGCUUAUUUCAUCACACAACACAUACAUACACAUACAUUGAAAACAAGAUAGUAAAAAUCAACAUGGCUAAGUUUGCUUCCAUUAUCACCCUUCUCUUCGCUGCUCUUGUUCUCUUUGCUGCUUUUGGUGAGUAAUCAUCUUAUCAUAUCAAUGAAAAUGUGUGUUUAAAUGUUAUUUUCAUUUAUUUGGAUAACUAACCAUGAGAAAUAUAUGCAUGCAUGAUGCAUCUGUAGAAGCACCGGCAAUGGUAAACGCACAGAAGUUGUGCGAGAGGUCAAGUGGGACUUGGUCCGGAGUCUGCGGAAACAACAACGCUUGCAAGAAUCAGUGCAUUAACCUUGAGGGAGCAAAACAUGGAUCUUGCAAUUAUCGAUUCCCAUACCACAGAUGUAUCUGUUACUUCCCAUGUUAAUCAACCAAACAUCUUCGGUGGUUAAACGUGUGUGCAUUUUACAUAAAAUAAGUCUACGUCACUUUACGAGUGACUCUUAUGAGUAUGACAUGCAUCUUUCUGUUUUAAUGUUCGGUGGUG